ensembl:lncRNA
AAAAAAGAUUUUAAGAUUAAUUUUUUUGCUCCUCUCACUCUAGCAGUUGAGCUGUCUCACUCUAGCCCCAACAUUCCGUCCCAUACACACCCAUUAUAAACUCUGAAACGGGUGAAAAAACAUCAUGAAACUUAAACUGGAACUGAAGAAAAAGUAUAAUAGAUAUUGAAAAGAUAAAUACAAGUUGAAUAGUUGAAUGUCUUGUCUUCGUUUUAAAGUUUGAAUGGUGGCUCUAUGUCAAUGUAUGUGGAAGUAGUAAGAGUUUAAAAAUGAGUAAGUUGAAUGAGGAUUUGAAGGGUCUCCCCAUUGAAAUACAUUAUAAAUUUUUGUUGAAUAAAGUUGAAUAAAAUUAAAAAUAUAAAUGUUAAAAAUAUGAAAAAUAGAAGCAGUGUUGUCCAAAAGAAUAGGAAUCUAACGGUGUUUGAAUGGUUUUUCUAAGUUGAACGGUUUUGAAGGAGUAGGCUUUCAAAAAACGUACGGAAAAAUAAAAUAUAAUAAUAACUAGAAAGUGCAUUUUCUGAAGAAACUGCAGUGUGAAUGCUUGAAUCUGAAUGUAUGCACUGAAAUGAAUUAAUUGCUGAAUUUUGAGUUAAAAAUAUUGAAUGAGAUUAAAAAAAAACAAAAAAAAAACGAAUUUAACCUGAAAACAAAGGUGCUGAACUGCUAAAAGCUGAAGGUUACACAGAAGAAGAAGUUGGAAAAAAGCU